UACGAAGGGGGCUAGCGUUGUUCGGAUUUACUGGGCGUAAAGCGCACGUAGGCGGAUCGUUAAGUCGGGGGUGAAAUCCUGGAGCUCAACUCCAGAACUGCCUUCGAUACUGGCGAUCUAGAGUCCGGAAGAGGUGAGUGGAACUCCUAGUGUAGAGGUGGAAUUCGUAGAUAUUCGGAAGAACACCAGUGGCGAAGGCGGCUCACUGGUCCGGUACUGACGCUGAGGUGCGAAAGCGUGGGGAGCAAACAGG
rnacentral:rRNA from 1 species